UUAACGUCUGACGAAUUCUGAAUGGGAAUGGUUGUGCGCUCUAUGUGCUAUGAAAUCAUAAGCGUAUAGCUUUUCCCAUUUAGCGUUCGUUCAUCAUCAU
rnacentral:pre_miRNA from 1 species